rnacentral:hammerhead_ribozyme from 1 species
AUCCGGCUGACGAGUCCUAAAUAGGACGAAACGCGCGUCCUGGAA